UGUUUCGAGUUCCUCCGGAACACCCGGGAUUUUUCGUAUUUAGCCACGCCGGUCACGUGAUAUGAGCAAAAUGUUCCACAGGGGUACUUCCGGUUAAUUUUGUUUACACUGGUAACAAAAUUGUUUUUGACAAAAUAUAGAUUUUGCGGCACAAACUGUCGCAAAUCAGAUAAAGAAUAGCAAGGGAUAUAUAUUUACUUGGGAAGAUGUCAAAGUUUGCCUUUUCCCAAACCCGGGAAAAGCGUUCACGCAGAGGAAACGGUGGCGUCAUUUGUGUAGAAAACCACGAGCAGCCGAAAUUGAGUGCGAAUAUUACAUUCCGUGAAAGCUGAACCAACAAAGAAACAUCAUUGUUCUAGCCAGUUUCCUUAUAUUAACUUUUAGGAAAACCAAGAGGUUGAUAACAAUGGCUGAUCUGCAUAUAAUGACUGCUAGUUAUUGGCUGGUAUGCAGUGAAAGGGAGCUAAAAAGGAGUAAAAAGUUCAUAUCAGCCAGGUGAGAAUUAAUUUCUUCUUUUUUGUGUGUUAUACAUAUGUAAUUCUUUUCUUUUGCUGCUUCAAAUCUUGUGUAUUUGAAAAUUUUCAGUCUAAUAUUUUGGCAAUGUUAUAGGUAGUGUGGCUUAAAUAAACCACUGUUAAGGAAUAUCCAGUAAUGGCAUGACAUCAUGAGAGUUUGGCAUACCGACAUUCAGAUGAUUAAUGAUGAAACUGAAGACCUCAAGUGAAAGGCAUGGAAAAUGAUCCUGUUCCCAUAUACCUGAAAAAGAGGAGGGAUGCCACAAUAUUGAUAAUAGACUUUUGUCAAUUUGAGAAGCAAAGAUGUAAAAAAAAAAAAAAAAAAAAAUAAUGCUGAAAUUAUAAUUCAUGUAUUUGUUAAAAAUACUGUUCACUGUACAUACAUGUAUAUUUUUUAAAACUUAUUUUUAAAUACAUGAAGUAAUUCAUAUUAAAACUGUGAAUGUAUGAG